rnacentral:rRNA from 1 species
CGGGUGAGUAAUGCGUGACCAACCUGCCCCAUGCUCCAGAAUAGCUCUUGGAAACGGGUGGUAAUGCUGGAUGCUCCAACUUGACGCAUGUCUUGUUGGGAAAGUGUUUAGUGGCAUGGGAUGGGGUCGCGUCCUAUCAGCUUGUAGGCGGGGUAAUGGCCCACCUAGGCUUCGACGGGUAGCCGGCCUGAGAGGGCGGACGGCUACAUUGGGACUGAGAUACGGCCCAGACUCCUACGGGAGGCAGCAGGC